rnacentral:lncRNA from 1 species
AUGGAGUUUGAUGCUCAUUAUGGUUAUGUGAAAAGGAUCGAUGGUAUGUUUUUUUUGACAAAAGGAUGACGUGCUCUUCGUGAUUUCUAUAACAUUGAUCUCGGUGCUUGGGUGAUCAUAAUGUUCUAUAGUUUUGGAAAAUUUGGCAUCAACAUCAAAGAUAUGUUUGGACAAUCUUAGUAUGAAGCAGAAGAUAGAGGGUGUGAUUUCGUCGCUCAACACAAUUAUGUCAUACUAAGAUAUGAAUAAUUCAAUGGAAUGUAUUUGCCGUCAUAUAAGUUACUGAUGUGUUGAAGGUAAAUGGGCAACUGUCAUGGU